CAAUAGCGUAUAUUAAAGUUGUUGCAGUUAAAAGCUCGUAGUUGGAUUUCGGGAGGGGCCAGUCGGUCGGCCGCAAGGUCUGUUCACUGACGGGUCUCUUCUUCUUCGCAAAGACUGUGCGUGCUCUUUGCUGAGUGCGUGUCUGGAUUUACGACGUUUACUUUGAAAAAUUAGAGUGUUCAAAGCAGGCUUUCGCUUGAAUACAUGAGCAUGGAAUAAUGGAAUAGGACUUUGGUGCUAUUUUGUUGGUUUCUAGGACCGAAGUAAUGAUUAAGAGGGACAAUUGGGGGGCAUUAGUAUUUAAUUGUCAGAGGUGAAAUUCUUGGAUUUAUGAAAGACUAACUAACUGCGAAAGCAUUUGCCAAGGAUGUUUUCAUUAAUCAAGAACGAAAGUUAGGGGAUCGAAGACGAUCAGAU
rnacentral:rRNA from 1 species